CCAAUAGCGUAUAUUAAAGUUGUUGCAGUUAAAAAGCUCGUAGUUGAACUUCGGGGUUUACUCAUUGGUCAGGCUUAAUUGUCUGUACUGGUGAGAUGAAUCUCUACCUUCUGAGGAACUUUCAUGCCAUUUAUUUGGUGUGAUGGGAAAUCAGGACUGUUACUUUGAAAAAAUUAGAGUGUUUAAAGCAGGCUAACGUCUGAAUACAUUAGCAUGGAAUAAUGAAAUAGGACGGACUGAUUCUAUUUCGUUGGUUUCUAGGAUCACCGUAAUGAUUAAUAGGGAUAGUUGGGGGCAUUAGUAUUCAAUUGUCAGAGGUGAAAUUCUUGGAUUUAUUGAAGACUAACUACUGCGAAAGCAUUUGCCAAGGAUGUUUUCAUUAAUCAAGAACGAAAGUUAGGGGAUCGAAGACGAUCAGAUACCGUCGUAGUCUUAACCAUAAACUAUGCCGACUAGGGAUCGGAUGAUGUUAAUUUUUUAAUGACUCAUUCGGCGCCUUACG
rnacentral:rRNA from 1 species